rnacentral:rRNA from 1 species
GACGAACGCUGGCGGCGCGCCUAACACAUGCAAGUCGAGCGAUGAAAUUUUAACCGAUCUCCUCGGAGAGAAGAUAAAAUGGAUUAGCGGCGGACGGGUGAGUAACACGUGAGAAACCUGCCUUUCACAAGGGGAUAGCCUCGGGAAACCGGGAUUAAUACCCUAUGACACAUUUCCUUCGCAUGGAAGAAAUGUUAAAACUCCGGUGGUGAAAGAUGGUCUCGCGCCUGAUUAGCUAGUUGGUGGGGUAACGGCCCACCAAGGCCAUGAUCAGUAACCGGCCUGAGAGGGUGAACGGUCACAUUGGAACUGAGACACGGUCCAAACUCCUACGGGAGGCAGCAGUGGGGAAUAUUGCACAAUGGAGGAAACUCUGAUGCAGCGACGCCGCGUGAGCGAUGAAGGCUUUCGAGUCGUAAAGCUCUGUCCUAUGGGAAGAUAAUGACGGUACCAUAGGAGGAAGCCCCGGCUAACUACGUG